CUAUACAAUGCGUUAUAGCUAAUUUGACAGGGUUCAGUACUCAUGUUUAUGUGGUUUGGAAACUGCUGGACAAUGGAUCAAGUAUUCUAGCGAUGGAAAAGGUAUAAAUCAUUGACUUCAGGCUUUAGCUUGUUUAUCAUAUUUAACAGAAUGACAAUGUGUAUUUAUUACCGGCUGUUUCAAUAAAACAUUGAAGUCGGAUUUAACAAAUUUUGAAGUAAGGUUUAAUUCAAGACAUGCCGCGGUUCAGUUCAGAUAAUUGGUUUGUGAAGUUCCUUGCCUAAACUGCAUGAACUCGCUGUUUUGGUUUGGGAACUUUGCUUUAAUAAUAUAGCCGCAGUAGGUCGGCGCACAAUUAAGCGAUUCCGUUUAUACGCCGGAGUCGUAUGCGGCAGUGCAUGCGUGGCAGUGUGCCGAGUGCAGGAGCAAUUGAGCAUUAAUCAUCUCCUAUAGCUAUGGCUAUGCGUUUCGUAAAACGUUUAGAAAUGUUCAAAAAAUGUAGCUGCUUUUCUUUUGUCCGUGUAAAACAUACAGUCUUUAAAAUUACUCUGUUCAAAUGACGCGAUAUAGGCUCUUAUAUAUAUAUUAUAUAUAAGAUUUUGGUUCUUAUAUAUUAUAUAAAGAACCAAAUUUUGAAAGUCACCAAAUUACACAAAUUAAAACGAAAUCACCUCGUCCUUGACUUAAUGCUCCCUGUCACGAUUCCAUGCAUGAAUCACUGGAUAAUAAUUUUAUACUUAUCAUAACGUUGCAAUAAUUUUAAUUUGUCCUUUUUUCUUUUGCUGGUAUAUAUAGUGAGACUUUCUACUGUACGUUUAAUUUUUCGGCACCGGUGCCGAUUUUUGUCACGUUUACACGUCAAAAGGCAAAGGUGCCGGGCCUAACAUUUUGGGCACGAGUGCCUAUUUUUAGGGGUGCCGUGCUCAAAACACUGGUCGUGUAAACCGGCCUUCGACAUUCUCUUUGUUUGAAACUCGUUAUUUGUGUAAUUUUUGACUGAGAAUAUAGACUCGUUAUAGGCCAAAAAGCUGUGUUUAUAAAUAUACCCCGUUCUAGCGUUGUCGAUCUUUGAAUGUUUGUUUACAGAUUGAUAAACUAUAUACUCGUGCAUUUCAGCAUGUAAUACAGUCAUACCACAUCAUUGUGUGGAUGAAACGUAACAAUCGUAUUAUGAGACAGCCGCGGAUUGAGAUAUUGAGAGGGAUACCACCACAUGAAAAAUACAAGCAGAACGUCGACGUUUCAAGCGAAGGCCUUUCGUCGGGAAGUUAGUAGAGACCUUACGAUGUGUGACGGCAACGUGACGACGACGGCUAUUCAUACAAUGAGAUUCAUAAUAUUUAAAGUGCCUAUGACACGAAAUUUCACCCCAAAUGUUUAUGAUUGCAUUGUAAAGAUCACUUAAAAUUACUUAAUAAUUUCUUUUAUAGAAUUUUGGUAACUUGCUUCCUUUGCAAGAUAUUCAACUUUGUUUCAUAUGCAAAUAUCACCGGUGUGACAUCACAUCGCAUAAUGACAUUUUCAAAACGCAAUAUUUUACCUUGAUAAAAUACUUUUACAAACAAAUACAGAGGGUUAAUUACCAGUUAUGAAAUUAAUACAUAUAUACAAGGGCAAUUUUUUUAAAGUUUUUUAGAUACGUAUUCGUCAAGAAAACUAUACUUUUCUGAAAACUCAUGAUGAAAUGUGAUGUCACACCGGUGAUAUUUGCAUAUGAAACAAAGUUGAAUAUCUUGCAAAGGAAGCAAGUUACCAAAAUUCUGUAAAAGAAAUUAUUAAGUCAUUUUAAGUGAUCUUUACAAUGCAACCAUAAACCUUUGGGGUGAAAUUUCGUGUCAUAGGCACUUUAAGAAAAAAAAAGAAUAAUUAAUAUCUCUAGAUCCAACGGGAGUUUUAGACAUUGUCCAUGGUCUGUUUAUAACGGGAAACUACAGACAUUUACAUAGACUUGGAUCAAGUCCGUCUCUCAAGAGUCCGACUCACUGUCCGAGGGAUCGGGCGCGCGAGGUGCGCGCCGCUUCGCGGCGCACUCGAUCUCGUCGCUUCGCGACUCGGACUCUGUUGAGACGGACUUGAUCCAAGUCUAACAUUUACAUCAUGGAUAAAACGUGAAGACGCGAGACGUGAUAUAUACUCAGCAAAUUAGCUCAGUACUACAGUAUAUAGAACGUUCUCCACAAUAAAGCCACUAUUUCAAGCUAACCAAACAGUACGUAUUAAAUUGAUACGAUCAAUAAUAGUCUACAAACCUUCUUUACAAUCAUUCAUUUGAAUGAUUUUAAUCUGGCCGUUGUCGUUGCGUUGCCGUCCUACAUCGUAAGGUCUCUAAUGACUCUAUUAUAGGGCCUUCGCUGGAAACGUCGAAAUUCUGCUUGUAUUUUGCAGGUAGUUGUUGUAUCAAUCCGCAGCAGUCUUGUUAUCAUCGCUAUCCACAUGCACUAGCACAGACCCGUUCGAGAUUAAAUAACAGUCCAUUAUGGCUCGACUUUUAAAAAUAGCUAGCACCAGUGCUCAGAACACUUCCUUUAUCGGGGGACACCACGUUUUUAACAGUAAAGAAAGUGGGACCGAAACUGGACGUGGUUCCUCCUGAUGCUGUUCGGAUCACUCAAUCAUGUGAUUAUCAACUCCGUCGAAAGUAUCUCGCUUAAUAGCGAGAUGUUUCCGGGGCUGAGAUCAUAUGAUACACAUGUACUAUGUCUAUGUAGUGUCACAGAAUAAAGAUCAGUAACAGAAGGGCCACUCAGCGGUGCAACAUGUCCUCGUUUUUUUUAUGCAAAAAUAUGCAGUUUACUGGCCAGAAGGCGGAGCAGCCAGCCAGUACAGCGUGUUUAUUGGCCAGAAAAUGUCAUUGACUGGCUAGGAAAAUGGCGGCCAACAUGCGUAAUGCGACAUGCGCGAGGACAGAAACUUCAAAGCUUCCGACGUAAGUGGCCCUUCUAUAUGGAUCUUUAUUCUAUGGUAGUGUUAUCACAUGUUUGUCAUGUUUGCCAAUAUCGGCGAAAUUCAUUUGCAUAUGUCAGUUGUUACACCCGUUCCUAUACCACUUCAGAGAUACCACUUAAAAUAUUGCAAAUUAUUUCCGUUUACUUAGCUUCGUUCAUAAAAAAGUUGACAUAUAUAAACAGGGAAGUUGACUCAAAACAUCAAAAGGGUAAGACGUUCUCACACAAAUAGCAAAAGGAAUUAAUUCAGCUGUUCGACAAAUUAUUAAAGAUGCUAAACAAGGAGCUGGCAGAAUGGCUGCGAAAAAAAUGUUCUGAAAAGUGGGAGAAGUGGUCUUUGCGUGACACCGUACAUGGAUUACUACCCAUUACAGAAUGGCUACCAAACUACAAACCAAAAAAAGAUCUCCCAGACGACAUUGCUGCUGGGUUAACAUUGGGCAUCAUGAACAUACCACAAGGU
rnacentral:lncRNA from 1 species